UCCUACGGGGGGCAGCAGUGAGGAAUAUUGGUCAAUGGGCGCGAGCCUGAACCAGCCAAGUCGCGUGAGGGAGGACGGCCCUACGGGUUGUAAACCUCUUUUGUCAGGGAGCAACGCCGGCUACGAGUAGCCGGACUGAGAGGACCUGAAGAAAAAGCAUCGGCUAACUCCGUGCCAGCAGCCGCGGUAAUACGGAGGAUGCGAGCGUUAUCCGGAUUUAUUGGGUUUAAAGGGUGCGUAGGCGGAAUGCCAAGUCAGCGGUAAAAUCGAGGGGCGCAAACU
rnacentral:rRNA from 1 species